CCUGUACACACAGGUCGGGAUGUGACCUGCGCGGCUUCGGCCGCGGGGAGGCGGAUCGGCCGCCGAACGGUUGAACCACACG
rnacentral:ncRNA from 1 species